AGUAACGCGUGGAUAACCUGCCUCACACUGGGCGAUAACAGUUAGAAAUGACUGCUAAUACCGCAUAAGCGCACAGUACCGCAUGGUACAGUGUGAAAAACUCCGGUGGUGUGAGAUGGAUCCGCGUCUGAUUAGCCAGUUGGCGGGGUAACGGCCCACCAAAGCGACGAUCAGUAGCCGACCUGAGAGGGUGACCGGCCACAUUGGGACUGAGACACGGCCCAA
rnacentral:rRNA from 1 species